AUUGAACGCUGGCGGCAUGCCUUACACAUGCAAGUCGAACGGCAGCACGGGUGCUUGCACCUGGUGGCGAGUGGCGAACGGGUGAGUAAUACAUCGGAACAUGUCCUGUAGUGGGGGAUAGCCCGGCGAAAGCCGGAUUAAUACCGCAUACGAUCUACGGAUGAAAGCGGGGGACCUUCUGGCCUCGCGCUAUAGGGUUGGCCGCUGGCUGAUUCGCUAGUUGUGGGGUAAAGGCCUACCAAGGCGACGAGCAGUAGCUGGUCUGAGAGGACGGCCAGCCACACUGUGACUGAGACACGGCCCAGACUCCUACGGGAGGCAGCAGUGGGGAAUUUUGUACAAUGGGCGAAAGCCUGAUGCAGCAAUGCCGCGUGUGUGAAGAAGGCCUUCGGGUUGUAAAGCACUUUUGUCCGGAAAGAAAUCCUUGGCCCUAAUACGGUCGGGGGAUGACGGUACCGGAAGAAUAAGCACCGGCUAACUACGUG
rnacentral:rRNA from 1 species